CCAAAAGCUGGCGACCGGCGCACGGGUGAGUAACACGUAUCCAACCUGCCUCAUACUCGGGGAUAGCCUUUCGAAAGAAAGAUUAAUAUCCGAUAGCAUAUAUUUCCCGCAUGGGUUUUAUAUUAAAGAAAUUCGGUAUGAGAUGGGGAUGCGUUCCAUUAGUUUGUUGGGGGGUAACGGCCCACCAAGACUGCGAUGGAUAGGGGUUCUGAGAGGAAGGUCCCCCACAUUGGAACUGAGACACGGUCCAA
rnacentral:rRNA from 1 species